rnacentral:rRNA from 1 species
GGAUAACUUACCCUUAGGACUGGGAUAACUCUGGGAAACUGGGGAUAAUACUGGAUAUUAGGCUAUGCCUGGAAUGGUUUGCCUUUGAAAUGUUUUUUUCGCCUAAGGAUAGAUCUGCGGCUGAUUAGGUCGUUGGUGGGGUAAUGGCCCACCAAGCCGAUGAUCGGUACGGGUUGUGAGAGCAAGAGCCCGGAGAUGGAACCUGAGACAAGGUUCCAGACCCUACGGGGUGCAGCAGGCGCGAAACCUCCGCAAUGUACGGAAGUGCGACGGGGGGAUCCCAAGUGUUAUGCUUUUUUGUAUAACUUUUCAUUAGUGUAAAAAGCUUUUAGAAUAAGAGCUGGGCAAGACCGGUGCCAGCCGCCGCGGUAACACCGGCAGCUCGAGUGGUAGCUGUUUUUAUUGGGCCUAAAGCGUUCGUAGCCGGUUUGAUAAGUCUUUGGUGAAAGCUUGUAGCUUAACUAUAAGAAUUGCUGGAGAUACUAUUAGACUUGAAGUCGGGAGAGGUUAGAGGUACUACCGGGGUAGGGGUGAAAUCCUAUAAUCCUGGGAGGACCACCUGUGGCGAAGGCGUCUAACUGGAACGAUCUUGACGGUGAGUAACGAAAGCCAGGGGCGCGAACCGGAUUAGAUACCCGGGUAGUCCUGGCCGUAAACGAUGUGGACUUGGUGUUGGAAUGGC